rnacentral:tRNA from 1 species
GGAGGGGCCCUGUCUGAGUGGUAAAGCAUCUGCUCAGCUUGCGGAGGGACCCAGGUUCAAUCCCUGACAUUUCCA